UGGGAAGUCAAGGCUGACACUGUCCAAAGC
rnacentral:piRNA from 1 species